rnacentral:rRNA from 1 species
CCUACGGGGGACAGCAGUCGAGAAUCAUUCACAAUGGGGGAAACCCUGAUGGUGCGACGCCGCGUGGGGGAAUGAAGGUAUUCGGAUUGUAAACCCCUGUCAUGUGGGAGCAAAUUAAAAAGAUAGUACCACAAGAGGAAGAGACGGCUAACUCUGUGCCAGCAGCCGCGGUAAUACAGAGGUCUCAAGCGUUGUUCGGAAUCACUGGGCGUAAGGCGUGCGUAGGCUGUUUCGUAAGUCGUGUGUGAAAGGCGCGGGCUCAACCCGCGGACGGCACAUGAUACUGCGAGACUGGAGUAAUGGAGGGGGAACCGGAAUUCUCGGUGUAGCAGUGAAAUGCGUAGAUAUCGAGAGGAACACUCGUGGCGAAGGCGGGUUCCUGGACAUUAACUGACGCUGAGGCACGAAGGCCAGGGGAGCGAAAGGGAUUAGAUACCCCAGUAGUC